CACGUAGGGCGCAAGCGUUGUCCGGAAUUAUUGGGCGUAAAGAGCUCGUAGGUGGUUUGUUACGUCUGCUGUGAAAACCUAGGGCUUAACCCUGGGCUUGCAGUGGAUACGGGCAGGCUAGAGUUCGGUAGGGGAGAUCGGAAUUCCUGGUGUAGCGGUGAAAUGCGCAGAUAUCAGGAGGAACACCAAUGGCGAAGGCAGCUCGCUGGGACGGUACUGACGCUGAGGCGCGAAAGCGUGGGGAGCAAACAGG
rnacentral:rRNA from 1 species